CCUGUAAGACUGGGAUAACUCCGGGAAACCGGAGCUAAUACCGGAUAGUUCCUUGAACCGCAUGGUUCAAGGAUGAAAGACGGUUUCGGCUGUCACUUACAGAUGGACCCGCGGCGCAUUAGCUAGUUGGUGAGGUAACGGCUCACCAAGGCGACGAUGCGUAGCCGACCUGAGAGGGUGAUCGGCCACACUGGGACUGAGACACGGCCCAGACUCCUACGGGAGGCAGCAGUAGGGAAUCUUCCGCAAUGGACGAAAGUCUGACGGAGCAACGCCGCGUGAGUGAUGAAGGUUUUCGGAUCGUAAAGCUCUGUUGUUAGGGAAGAACAAGUGCAAGAGUAACUGCUUGCACCUUGACGGUACCUAACCAGAAAGCCACGGCUAACUACGUGCCAGCAGCCGCGGUAAUACGUAGGUGGCAAGCGUUGUCCGGAAUUAUUGGGCGUAAAGGGCUCGCAGGCGGUUUCUUAAGUCUGAUGUGAAAGCCCCCGGCUCAACCGGGGAGGGUCAUUGGAAACUGGGAAACUUGAGUGCAGAAGAGGAGAGUGGAAUUCCACGUGUAGCGGUGAAAUGCGUAGAGAUGUGGAGGAACACCAGUGGCGAAGGCGACUCUCUGGUCUGUAACUGACGCUGAGGAGCGAAAGCGUGGGGAGCGAACAGGAUUAGAUACCCUGGUAGUCCACGCCGUAAACGAUGAGUGCUAAGUGUUAGGGGGUUUCCGCCCCUUAGUGCUGCAGCUAACGCAUUAAGCACUCCGCCUGGGGAGUACGGUCGCAAGACUGAAACUCAAAGGAAUUGACGAGGGCCCGCACAAGCGGUGGAGCAUGUGGUUUAAUUCUGAAGCAACGCGAAGAACCUUACCAGGUCUUGACAUCCUCUGACAACCCUAGAGAUAGGGCUUUCCCUUCGGGGACAGAGUGACAGGUGGUGCAUGGUUGUCGUCAGCUCGUGUCGUGAGAUGUUGGGUUAAGUCCCGCAACGAGCGCAACCCUUGAUCUUAGUUGCCAGCAUUCAGUUGGGCACUCUAAGGUGACUGCCGGUGACAAACCGGAGGAAGGUGGGGAUGACGUCAAAUCAUCAUGCCCCUUAUGACCUGGGCUACAC
rnacentral:rRNA from 1 species